rnacentral:lncRNA from 1 species
UUUUUUUUUUUUCAUUUAGUUAGCUUUACAUUUAUAUGAAACUUCAUAAGUGUCCUCCCCCCCACCCCCUCUUUUGCUAAUUUUUUGUGAUUAUAAUAUAUUUAUGGCUUUUUGGCUAUUUAUGGUGCUAAUGUUUGAAAAUAUUACUCUAUGUAUAGCUCUAACUAUAAUUUAUAAUGCAAAAUAAUAAAUUUAUAAUAUAUAUUUGGCUAUUUUUUCCAUUAUUUGGCUAUUUUUUCCAUUAUUUGGCUAUAUGUAUGUAAUGCAAAAUCAUAAAUUCAUAAAACCCAAACCCUCCCAGUGACCCAUUUACUUUUCUAUAGUGCUUGCCCAGGCAGUUGGGCACCUCAACCUCUUGGACGCCCAUUUCCAUUUUCUUGAACAUUGAUGAGGGAUGAUAUGUUACUUGGAACACUGAGAUGUAACUCAACCUGAUUAAAAUCUUAGGCAUCUAUAACCUUUUCUCAUCAAUAUUUUGGUGAUUCUUGGAUGGGAAAUCAAUAGCCAAGAUGUGUGAAGCUUGGGUCGGGUGAAAACAUUUUUGGUUUGUUUUGUGGAAUACGAAUUUUUUGCUAGCGACUUUAUACCUCAGUUUUGAAGUUUACUGAUCUCUUUUUUUUUCGAUCUUUUCUUAUACAUGUGGCAUGUUAGAUUUUGGUGGUCUCACCACGUUUUACAAGACAUCACAAUAGACAUGAAUGCCCAAAUAAUCGGGACCAAGUUUUAGGGGAUCUGGAAGCACGAGAUGCUCUCGCUGUCUUCGAAGUGUUAAAUGCCCCCAUCUCAAAAAAAGUCUAAGGUGCAAACGGGCCCUGACGAGUACAUUUCUAGGAUAUAACCAGAUCGAAAAUUAAUUCAUGAGUCCUUGAGUUGCACACUCAAAAGAGUCUAAAUUCCAAUCCAUAAUCUAACUUCUAGUCGAUAGUCUGACUGAUAGUCGAUAGCGUGAGUUACGGUCGAUAACUUGACUUACAAUCGAUAACUUGACUUACAGUCCAUAAUCUGACUUCUAGUCGAUAGUCUGACUGUAGUCGAUAGCGUGACUUACGGUCGAUACCUUGACUUACAGUCGAUAACUUGACUUACAGUCCAUAAUCUGACUUACAAUCGAUAGUCUGACCUAUGGUCGAUAGCGUGACUUACGGUCGAUAACUUGACUUAUAGUAGAUAGCCUG